GAUGAACGCUGGCGGCGUGCCUAAUACAUGCAAGUCGAGCGAACAGACAAGGAGCUUGCUCCUUUGACGUUAGCGGCGGACGGGUGAGUAACACGUGGGUAACCUACCUAUAAGACUGGGAUAACUUCGGGAAACCGGAGCUAAUACCGGAUAAUAUUUCGAACCGCAUGGUUCGAUAGUGAAAGAUGGUUUUGCUAUCACUUAUAGAUGGACCCGCGCCGUAUUAGCUAGUUGGUAAGGUAACGGCUUACCAAGGCGACGAUACGUAGCCGACCUGAGAGGGUGAUCGGCCACACUGGAACUGAGACACGGUCCAGACUCCUACGGGAGGCAGCAGUAGGGAAUCUUCCGCAAUGGGCGAAAGCCUGACGGAGCAACGCCGCGUGAGUGAUGAAGGUCUUCGGGUCGUAAAACUCUGUUAUUAGGGAAGAACAUACGUGUAAGUAACUAUGCACGUCUUGACGGUACCUAAUCAGAAAGCCACGGCUAACUACGUGCCAGCAGCCGCGGUAAUACGUAGGUGGCAAGCGUUAUCCGGAAUUAUUGGGCGUAAAGCGCGCGUAGGCGGUUUUUUAAGUCUGAUGUGAAAGCCCACGGCUCAACCGUGGAGGGUCAUUGGAAACUGGAAAACUUGAGUGCAGAAGAGGAAAGUGGAAUUCCAUGUGUAGCGGUGAAAUGCGCAGAGAUAUGGAGGAACACCAGUGGCGAAGGCGACUUUCUGGUCUGUAACUGACGCUGAUGUGCGAAAGCGUGGGGAUCAAACAGGAUUAGAUACCCUGGUAGUCCACGCCGUAAACGAUGAGUGCUAAGUGUUAGGGGGUUUCCGCCCCUUAGUGCUGCAGCUAACGCAUUAAGCACUCCGCCUGGGGAGUACGACCGCAAGGUUGAAACUCAAAGGAAUUGACGGGGACCCGCACAAGCGGUGGAGCAUGUGGUUUAAUUCGAAGCAACGCGAAGAACCUUACCAAAUCUUGACAUCCUUUGACAACUCUAGAGAUAGAGCUUUCCCCUUCGGGGGACAAAGUGACAGGUGGUGCAUGGUUGUCGUCAGCUCGUGUCGUGAGAUGUUGGGUUAAGUCCCGCAACGAGCGCAACCCUUAAGCUUAGUUGCCAUCAUUAAGUUGGGCACUCUAAGUUGACUGCCGGUGACAAACCGGAGGAAGGUGGGGAUGACGUCAAAUCAUCAUGCCCCUUAUGAUUUGGGCUACACACGUGCUACAAUGGACAAUACAAAGGGCAGCGAAACCGCGAGGUCAAGCAAAUCCCAUAAAGUUGUUCUCAGUUCGGAUUGUAGUCUGCAACUCGACUACAUGAAGCUGGAAUCGCUAGUAAUCGUAGAUCAGCAUGCUACGGUGAAUACGUUCCCGGGUCU
rnacentral:rRNA from 1 species